rnacentral:rRNA from 1 species
GUAACGAGCGCAACCCUUGUCCUUAGUUACCAGCACGUUAUGGUGGGCGACUCUAAGGAGACUGCCGGUGACAAACCGGAGGAAGGUGGGGAGUGACGUCAAGUCAUCAUGGCCCUUACGGCCUGGGCUACACACGUGCUACAAUGGUCGGUACAAAGGGUUGCCAAGCCGCGAGGUGGAGCUAAUCCCAUAAAACCGAUCGUAGUCCGGAUCGCAGUCUGCAACUCGACUGCGUGAAGUCGGAAUCGCUAGUAAUCGUGAAUCAGAAUGUCACGGUGAAUACGUUCCCGGGCCUU